ACUUUCCCCCUCAUGUGCCUGUGAGCUGUGACCUCCCUCAAACCCCUGUUGUAAAUCUAAACUGUCUUCCUCUUCCUCCUCGCUGGAAGGGUCAAGUUGGGGAGGCUGAUGUGGCGUUUGCCCAUUCGUUUAGAAAAUGCCUGUACAGGGGAGAGAGAAAGGGUUAAAAUGUCGACCAAUAGGAAAGCUGGAGGCGGAGCCUCCCUGUUUAUAAAAGGGCUUAGCCUGAGAUUUGAGUUAGUUAGUUGGUUGGUUUUAGUGGGUUGCUUGGUUGGGAAAGGCAGUUGGAAAAGCAGUUGGCAGGUAGUUGGUAAUAGAGACAGUUGGUGCAGUUGGUUCUUGUGUGAGGGGAGGGAGGUAGAAGAGAUACAGACAGGAUAAAAUAAGACUAGGAAGGUAAAGAGUAACAACGUUUGGAAUGCAGUUAAAGUUUGUGUCUGAAAUAAACUACACUCUUCUUUGUCAACGUGAGAACCUGACUGAGACUUAAGUGAUUUACCUGGGAGGACCUGGUUGGGGGCAGCGGAUUAGUGGUGUACGGGUCAAUAGUCCAUGAGACGACCGGGGGCUCCGUACAAACGCCACAGCUGUCUCCACCAUUCCUCCUCUGCCCAGUCCCUAACAUCAACAGUGGAAUGGACUCUCUCGGAAAGCAGUGGACUCUCCUUCAUUGGAGGGUUUUAAGCAGAGGUUGAAUGGCCAUCCAUCAUGGAUGAUUUAGUUGAGAUUCUGGCUUUGCAGGGGUUGGGCCAGAGGACCCUCGGUGUACCUUCCAACUGUAUAAUUGUAUGAUUUCUUUUUACAGAUUACUCUCCCUGCCACGUUCCUGCCCUUCCCGGAGCCCCACCACCUUCCUCUUCCUAAGUAGGCAAGGAGGCAGGACUUCCUACGGAAACCUGCAUGGAGCACGUAGAGGACACGGACUCCACACCACAUGCAACAGUGCAGGCCUUUGCCUCCCAUGUCAAAGUGUGAUGGCCUGGGACUCGGGCUCGGACUCGGCACCAGAGGAGUUUCAGUCCGCACUGGAUCCUUUGCCUCAGGCGGCAUCACCAUCAAGUCAGGGGCCUGAUUCUGAAGAGCCCCAGUCUGCACGGGUUCCCCUGCAACAAGCACCAGCUGGGCUGAGUCAGGGGCCUGAGCCUGCCCUGGCUCCAGAUGUGGGGAUUACCUCGUUGUCUUCAGCUGGGCCAUCACUUACAGCUGCUCCACUACCAGUUGGGUCAGGAGAGGCUGAGGCAGCCUCUGGGUCUAGUAACCCACCGACAUCUCCCAAGCUGCAGAGACCGAGGUCUGAGAGAAGGAGAGAUCUGAGUACUCGCAGGAAGAGGGCUCGCCUUCAGGUGAGACGGAGGUGAGUCACUGGGGGAUCGGGACCGGCCAUUACCCCGACAAAGAUAAAAGGCUGUUGGACCCCGCCGCAGGUUGCGGGAGCAACAUUGCUGUUUGCUAGAACCUGCCUGAGACCCUGCGCCCGACUUAGCCUGGUUUCCUGCCUGGGCCCUGUCGGACUGACUCCUCGCGGAAUCCUUGGAUUUGGGACUGAACCUGGACCGCGUUGCUCUGGUUAACCCCUGGGCCCAGCACACAAAGGUUGUAGAUCUGGUACUGAAAUGGAUUGCCAGGUAGCUCUCAAAGAAGCAUGCAAUUCUAUCCUACUCAGAUUAUGUAUGGACUGGGCCAUUGUAUUAUAUGAUAUGCCCCUCUCUGCACUGGGAAACCAAAUAGAAUGGACUGGAAAUGAUCAAAUAGUUCCUGUACCUGUGCAGGGAUGCAGGCAGAGAGCAUGUAGAGUUCACUGGAGUGCUGCAUUUUAAAAAAUAUUAUUUUAGAGAUUGUGGCUGCAUAUUACAAUGCCCUUACCAAUUAAUUUGCAUUGGGCUUGUUUGGCAACGUUUGUUUAUUCUGUAAUGGUAGCAAAGUAGGGAGAACCAGGCAAUGCCCUUUUAAUAAUUCAUAAUUUUUUGUCAAAACAAACAUUUCAAACUGUCACAACCCCCUUUUCAUUUCCUCCUUCGUUCCUCACUUUCACCGUAGCCUAUAAAGGAUGUGUUAAAGAAGAUGACAAGAUUGCAAAACAGGUGACAUCUGCGGUGGGCGGGUGGACGGGGAGGAAGGAUCAAGGAUUAUGGAGGAUGAACAUCACAAAAUCCUCCUCCCCCUCCAACCCCUAGUUACUUAUGCAAAUUUCUUAAGAUAAUUUUGACAGCAACUUAUUCGUGCAGGUUGUGGUAGUCAUUCGUGCAGAUUGAGACCAUCCAUCGCCAUCCUGGUGCUCUCCAGAGACUUUGGACCAUAGGUAAGCAAACUAAGGCCUGUGGGCCAGAUCAGGCCCAAUUCCCUUCUGGAUCUGGCCCAUGGAUGGUCUGGCAAUCACCGCAUGGAUCGCCAGUGCGCACAUUUUCCCCCUCUCCAUCCCUCUCCCUCACACAGCGGCGGCGCCACCUCCUCCCUCCCUCCCUCCUGGCUUCUCCCUGCCCUGCCUAGAGGAGGAAGGGGGCUGGUCUUUGUUGAUGCCAGCAGCAGCAGCAGCGCUUGAGCGGCCGCCAUUUUAAGCAGCCCCUCUCUGGAACCCUUUUGCUCGCCGCUCAUUGUCCCUCCACCGCUGCCAGCCCCUGCCGCUCACAAGACACAGGUAAGCAGCCACCGGGGCUCGUGGUGCUCUUGCAUCAUUUUUUUCUUCAGAAUAUAAUCUGGCCUCCCACAAGGUCUGAGGGACAGUGGACCGGCCCCCUGCUGAAAAAGUUCACUGACCCUGCUUUGGAUUAAAGGUCCGUGAUGGGAGUUGAAGGCCACACUAGACAAGCCAUAACAACCCACUCCAGAAAGAAAAGCAAUUCCAUGAUGCGCAAUGCAUAUAUCCGGAGGACCAGGCUACCUCGAGGCGCCUGUGUACAUUGACUGGUAGCAGCUGUCAAGGGUUUCAGACAGGGAUCAGUCCUAGCAAUUUCUGGAUACACCAGGAUUAAAUUUACAGAGGCGGUUAUAGAGUAGCACAAGUUUGAAAGCCUGCCAGCGCAAGUAGAUAAAUAGGUACGGCUGUGGUGGGAAGGUAAACAGUGUUUCCAUGCGCUCUGGUUUCUGUCAUGGUGUCCCAUUGCGCCAGAAGUGGUUUAGUCAUGCUGGCCACAUCACCCGAAAAGCUAGCUCCCUCGGCCUGAAAGUGAGAUGAGUGCCACAACCCUAUAGUUGCCUUUGACUGGACUUAACUGUUCAGGGUUUACCUUUUUACUGGGUGCCACCCUACAGGGGGUGCAAAAACAAUGCUGUAGAGGCAGGGACACCGCAUUUGAGAGCCCAAAGUCUGCCACCGGGACCUGGAACUACCUGAACGCUCCAGCACUUAGCUUUGGCCCUUCUGAAUGUUUGCCAAACUGAGUUUCAGGUGUUAACGGGUUUUUGACAGGCAAGUCCUGUGUGCAUUUAAAUCCCUGCUUCUAAUGAAACAUCCAGUGUGGGCGCCUAGAUGCCACUUCAAAUUUCACCCUGCUAAAAAUGUGGCACACAAACCAACUGCAAGUUUCCACUUGAUAGAAGCUGAAAGGAGGCACGUCUCUCUCCUUCGCCUCAGAACAUUAAUAUUUACAGUGAGUUCCUGAGGAAUGAAGUGAGGCUCAGAGUCAACUGACUGACACUCACCAAAUGCUAAAAGCAAGCCAACCCACAGAUGCCUUUUAAUUUUCAAGGAUCUGUUCAGGUUAACCUCAGAUGUCUGCCUCGCCCUUUUCUUCCUGUUGUAAUUGAAACAGUCAAAGAAAAAGGAAAAAAACCCACAUAAGAUAAACUGCUGAAAGAAUUGUUCAAGAUAUUAUAGGAGAUUUAAGAAACUUCUCAGCUGCUUGUUUAUUUAAUCACUAAUUGAUAAAAAUCUGCAAAGUGAGAGUUUCCAAAUAGGAAAACAAUUAGCAGAGUUAAUCAACAGAGAUAAAUGAAUAAAUAAAAAUUGGUUAAAUUGUACACGUUUUGAAUUUUAGAGAAGCAAAAUCCCAUGCUAUUUAUCAAGACGGUGUUGAGCGGGCAGUAGAAUCGAAGGGAAUGAGGCAGCUGGAUUGCACCCAGAGAAGAACGAGCAGAACUCCACUUGUACAACGAGGCUUCCCAGAUUUCUUUCUCCACGAUAGGUCCCUGCAACUCAUCCCCCAAAGCCACGCAGUGCUCAGGAUGAUGGGAUGCUGUGCAUCGGGAUUGUAGUGGAAUGGAGAAUUUCAGCCUUACCUGUGAGUGGAAGCUCCUUUCCACUUGUGCAAAACGCCUUUGGAUCCAGGUCACUGUAAUUUAAAUAACACAAUCAAGCCAACAAAGAAAAUUGAAGUGUGAUUCUUACCACAUUUUCUCAGCACUAAUUUCCUCUAAGUUUAAUGUGUGGAGGUUGUGUAGCCCCAGGUGUUGUUGUUGUAGUUGUUUAGUUGUUCAGUUGUGUCCGACUCUUCGUGACCCCAUGGACCAGAGCACGCCAGGCACUCCUGUCUUCCACUGCCUCCUGCAGUUUGGUCAAACUCAUGUUUGUAUCUUCGAGAACACUGUCCAACCAUCUCGUCCUCUGUCGUCCCCUUCUCCUUGUGCCCUCCAUCUCUCCCAACAAUCUUUUCCAGGAAGUCUUCUAUUCUCAUGAGGUGGCCAAAGUACUGGAACCUCAGCUUCACGAUCUGUCCUUCCAGUGAGCACUCAGGGCUGAUUUCCUUCAGAAUGGAUAGGUUUGAUCUUCUUGCAGUCCAUGGGACUCUCAAGAGUCUCCUCCAGCACCAUAAUUCAAAAGCAUCAAUUCUUCCCCUUCAUGGAUCACUGCCUUGCCGUGGCGAAGGGGCUUGAAUAACUCAGAGAAGCUUGGAGCUAUGCCAUGCAGGGCACCCAAGAUGGACAGGUCAUAGUGGAGAGUUUUGACCAAACGUGAUCCACCUGGAGCAGGAACUGGCAAGCCACUCCAGUAUCCCUGCCAAGAAAACUCCAUGGACAAAGACAACAGGCCCCAGGUGAGGGCUGCUUAAAUGGCUUGGUCGGCUCUGCCCCUUGCACAGCCCAUGUCCAAGCCAGCAUCCCCAUUCGCCAAAGUGGGAUGCAGGCCAGGAUCCAGCUCCUGAUAGGCAGUGCAGGCUUAAGGAAGGGGAACUGAGGCCAUGAUCCUUCAUUGGGGCCCCAGGGAGCUUCUGCCGUCCUGCAACACCACCACACUAAAAGGGGUGAGCCAACUUGUGUGACAUAAUCCCUUGAAUAUUUAGAUUUAUUUAUUUAUUUACUUACUUACUUACUUACUUACUUACUUACUUACAUUUAUAUCACACCUUUCUUUCUUCUGUUGUGGAAUGCAAGGUGGGCCACAGUAGUUUGCACAUGAAAACACUGCUCACCUUCCUGCUGCAGCGGUACCUAUUUUUCUACUCGCG
rnacentral:lncRNA from 1 species